UUUUUAUCAUGAAAAUCUUCAGUGUGCUUCUUAGUAUAGAGCACGUAAUAGAUCCUUAAGCCAAUGCUGACCUUUGUCCAUGAAGGAAGAGGGACAUCCAGCAACGUUCUGCUCCAUCCUUAUCUUCCCGACGUACACUCAUCUAGCUUCACUGCUUUUGCUGUUACAACUUCACCGACGAGUGUCUUACUUCACCGACGAGUUGGAACACUUCAGUGGUCGCUACCCUUUGCUGAUACACACCUACAGUUACUCACCACGGGAUUAUGCCCAGGUAAUGCAGAAGAGACGUCGAGAAGAUGGACGCCAAAACAUCGCCGGUAUCU